rnacentral:rRNA from 1 species
GAUGAACGCUGGCGGCGUGCCUAAUACAUGCAAGUCGAGCGAACAGACGAGGAGCUUGCUCCUCUGACGUUUAGCGGCGGACGGGUGAGUAACACGUGGAUAACCUACCUAUAAGACUGGGAUAACUUCGGGAAACCGGAGCUAAUACCGGAUAACAUGUUGAACCGCAUGGUUCAACAGUGAAAGACGGUCUUGCUGUCACUUAUAGAUGGAUCCGCGCCGCAUUAGCUAGUUGGUAAGGUAACGGCUUACCAAGGCAACGAUGCGUAGCCGACCUGAGAGGGUGAUCGGCCACACUGGAACUGAGACACGGUCCAGACUCCUACGGGAGGCAGCAGUAGGGAAUCUUCCGCAAUGGGCGAAAGCCUGACGGAGCAACGCCGCGUGAGUGAUGAAGGUCUUCGGAUCGUAAAACUCUGUUAUUAGGGAAGAACAAAUGUGUAAGUAACUAUGCACGUCUUGACGGUACCUAAUCAGAAAGCCACGGCUAACUACGUG